GAUGAACGCUGGCGGCGUGCCUAACACAUGCAAGUCGAGCGACGAACCAGGGCUUGCCCUGGGGCAAAGCAGCGAACGGGUGAGUAACACGUAGGUAACUUACCCCGAUAACCGGGACAACCCGAGGAAACUCGGGCUAUUACCGGAUGUACUCACUGGACAUCGGUUCAGUUCGUCAGGGAAGCUUCGGCCUCCUUAUCCUGAGGGGCCCGCGCCGCAUUAGUUUGUUGGUGAGGUAACGGCUCACCAAGACCGCGAUGGGUAGCUGGUCUGAGAGGACGAUCAGCCACACUGGGACUGAGACACGGCCCAGACUCCUACGGGAGGCAGCAGUGGGGAAUCUUGCGCAAUGCGCGAAAGCGUGACGCAGCAACGCCGCGUGGGUGAAGAAGGUCUUCGGGUUGUAAACCCCUUUCAGGAGGGACGAAGGUACGUGGGUGAAUAGCUGGCCGGAUUGACGGUACCUACACAAGAAGCCCCGGCUAACUACGUG
rnacentral:rRNA from 1 species